rnacentral:rRNA from 1 species
UACGUAGGGACCAAGCGUUGUUCGGAUUUACUGGGCGUAAAGGGCGCGUAGGCGGCAAUUCAAGUCAGCUGUGAAAUCUCCGGGCUUAACUCGGAACGGUCAGCUGAUACUGCUUUGCUAGAGUGCAGAAGGGGCAAUCGGAAUUCUUGGUGUAGCGGUGAAAUGCGUAGAUAUCAUUUGGAACGCCAAUGGUGAAAACAGGUAGCUGGGGCUGAUGCUGACACUGAGACACGAAAGCCAGGGGAGCAAACGGG